rnacentral:rRNA from 1 species
CACGGGGGGAGCAAGCGUUGUUCGGAAUUACUGGGCGUAAAGGGCGUGUAGGCGGUCAAGUAAGUGGAAUGUGAAACGCCUCGGCUUACCCGAGGACCUGCAUCCCAAACUGCUUGGCUUGAGUAUGGGAGAGGAUGAGGGAAUUCCUGGUGUAGCGGUGAAAUGCGUAGAUAUCAGGAGGAAUACCGAUGGCGAAGGCAGGUCUCUGGGCUAACACUGACGCUCAUGCACGAAAGCGUGGGGAGCAAACAGG